UGUAUUUUUUUAUCAACUGCUGUUGUAUUUUCAGCUAGCACGUUUGUCUUAUGUCUCAUAGGGGGGCUGAUUGCUGACACAGUUCUAGGGAUCUUCUUCACAGGAACUUUUUCAUUUGCAUUGCAACUUGUAGGUAAUAUGAUAAGCACUGUAUGCCGAAUUUGUUUAAAUAGAAGCAGCACAACUUAUGUCUAUCUUUGUCAGUACUUCUUGUUAUAUUUGUAUAAAUAGAAACAGCACUCUUCACGGGAACCUUGUCAUUUUUAUGGUUACUUGUAGGUAAUAUGUAUGAAAAGCACUGCACGUAAAAUUUGUAUGAAUAAAAGCAGCACAAUUAACGUCAAUUUUUUUUGUAGGAACGUUCUUCACUAGAGAGAAAUAAUUUGCCAGUUCAUUAUCAAGUCCUUAAAUAUCAGUAAUAUUUUCUGCGUAUUUGAAUAAUUUCAAAUGUGUUCAAAGAUUCGAUUGAGGCUUUAAGAAGGCAGCGUUCAUUUUGAUUGAAUUUCAUUACUGUAUAUGUGUUAUUAUGUUUGUUUUUCAUUUAGGAAUGUUGUUCAUUCUGGGUUCGACGUUUACAGAGAACACAGCGCAUGCGCAACCGCGUACGGAUCUGUACAUGGUCGGGUUAGGUUGUAAAGCCAUAGCAUACAGUGGUCUUGACGCCAUACUAGUUGUAUAUGGGGCGGAGCAGCUACGCAAAGAGAGCCAUAGGCAGUCUUAUAUACAUUGGAACUAUUUUUUUGACACCUUUGGCGCCUUAUUGGGUGUGCCCGUUACAACCUCCGUAGCAGUGGUCGAGUUCUCAACGAAUACUCACAAUUACUUCGUGGCAUGCUUCACGA